rnacentral:rRNA from 1 species
GAAUAUUGGACAAUGGGCGCAAGCCUGAUCUAGCCAUGCCGCGUGAGUGAUGAAGGUCCUAGGGUUGUAAAGCUCUUUCACCGGUGAAGAUAAUGACGGUAACCGGAGAAGAAGCCCCGGCUAACUUCGUGCCAGCAGCCGCGGUAAUACGAAGGGGGCUAGCGUUGUUCGGAAUUACUGGGCGUAAGGCGCACGUAGGCGGAUUGUUAAGUUAGGGGUGAAAUCCCAGGGCUCAACCCUGGAACUGCCUCUAAUACUGGCAAUCUUGAGUUCGAGAGAGGUGAGUGGAAUUCCGAGUGUAGAGGUGAAAUUCGUAGAUAUUCGGAGGAACACCAGUGGCGAAGGCGGCUCACUGGCUCGAUACUGACGCUGAGGUGCGAAAGCGUGGGGAGCAAACAGG